rnacentral:rRNA from 1 species
GGAAGUAAAAGUCGUAACAAGGUUUCCGUAGGUGAACCUGCGGAAGGAUCAUUAACGAGUUUUUGAAACGGGUUGUUGCUGGCUUCAUAAGAGGAGCACAUGUGCACGCCUGACUCAAUCCACUCUCAAACCCCUGUGCACUUAUUGUAGGCUUGGUGAUUGAAGAACUCGCAAGGGUUCUGAUAAAGCCGGGUCUAUGUUUUUAUAAACGCUUCAGUUUAAGAAUGUUACUCGCGUAUAACGCAAUAAAUACAACUUUCAGCAACGGAUCUCUUGGCUCUCGCAUCGAUGAAGAACGCAGCGAAAUGCGAUAAGUAAUGUGAAUUGCAGAAUUCAGUGAAUCAUCGAAUCUUUGAACGCACCUUGCGCUCCUUGGUAUUCCGAGGAGCAUGCCUGUUUGAGUGUCAUGGUAUUCUCAACUCUACAAAGCUUUUGCAAUGAGGAGUUGGAUUUGGAGGCUUGUGUGGGCUCGCAAGAGUCGACUCCUCUGAAAUGCAUUAGUGUGAACCUUUACGGAUCGCCUCCAGUGUGAUAAUGUCUACGCUGUGGUGUUGAAGUAUUUCUAGUGUUCAUGCUUCUAAUCGUCUCUUUGAGACAAUUACUUGACAAUCUGACCUCAAAUCAGGUAGGACUACCCGCUGAACUUAAGCAUAUCAAUAAGCGGAGGA